GUAACAGCAAGGGGUUUACUGGUGUUUUUGAUGAUGAUUGUAAUUGGCCGUUUGUUGUGGGUUAUAUAGAAGGUGAGUACCCUAAGUCUAAGUUUUUUUGGAAUUGUAUGAAUGAUUUAGAACCCAAAAAGUAUAAAGUAAUUACUGUGGAUUCUGGUAUUAAUAAGAUGAUUCAUGCUGCUGAUAAACCAAUUUCUGGACGAGAAUUAGAAUUUUUGCAAUCACUAUUUACUACUUUCUGUCCUGAAGACGAGAAACAACUGUUUUUCCGGGGAAAUCAACCUGGUUUGUUGGUGAAGGAAAAGAACGAUCUUGAGUCUAAAUUUGGACGUGUAGGCUUGAGUGAAAAGCGGAGGAGCAAUUUGGGUUCUGAAUUUGACAAAACUAGACUCUUCUGCGGUGAUAAAUCAGUGAGCGGGGUGGAUGACCUCACUAAAAAUGAUUUAGAUUUUCUUGAGAUGCUGGGGAGUAUUGAACGGUUCUCUUUGCCUAGGGAAGAACGGGAUAAGUAUAAGGUAGCAAACAUGUCUCGUGAUCACAAGGCAGGAAAUAAAAAUGGUGAUCAGGUAUUUAAGUCGGGGUCAAGUAUUUUGGAUGGUAGAAAGGACAAGUUAAAGGAAAUAAGCAAACAUGUUGAUGAUGUGUUCAAGUUUGGGUCAUCUAAAUUGGAUGCUAAAGACUUCAAAUCAAAGACCUUUGGAGAAAGAAAGAAAGACGUCGAUCAGCUGUUUCAGUUUGGAGAGCAGUGUAAGAUUGGAGAGAAGCGAGGCAGGAACAAUCAGCCUCAAUUGGUAAUGGAGGAGAACAAAGGCACAAAAGAUGUCGAGCAACUUACAGAAAAAAUAACAGCCUUCUAUUCCAGCUGGAGGAAAUACAAAGAAGAGAAAUGGGGAAAAGCCGAUGUUUUGGUGAUUACUUCUCCAUCAGUGGCACCAGUUGAAGAUUGGUCUCGUAGCUUCUUAGUGUGGUUGCUGGAUGGUGAGUUUCUGGAUACCACAGCUGUUUUUACGGACACAGGAAUUGAAUUUCUUUGCACCAAGGAAAGUUUCUUCAGGCUUCGUACAAUUGGAAUUUGUAUGACAAAGAUUGCAAAGCUAACUGUUUCUGUCCAACUGAAGAAACGAGGAGAACAAUGUGUAGAUUGGUUAAAAAAGACUUUGAGGCAGGUAAAUACUGCGGCGAAGUCUAAACCUAACUGGUGCCCACUUGUUGUUGGCUGCAUUUUCGGGGAGUCUGGGGAGAUAGAGGUUCUUUCACGUUCCAGAAUGUUUGAAGUUGCAUAUGUAAACAAUGCUUUAACCGACCUGCUUGAACAGGGGAAUUUUGUAAAAGCAGAAAGGUUUGCAGCUCAACAGUCAACUUUACCUAAGCAAUUUCAGAUGCUGUCUUUGGGAACACGUGGCAGUGCAAAUACUGCAAAUGCUGUAUCAUUUUCUGAGUUAGCCAAAAUUAGGUCGAUGGAUGAUAAUUCUUAUUUGUCAGAAGAAUUACUCCGUGAUGCAAAAACUCCUACUGACGGUAGAGUAGAUAAUGGAGGACCAGUUGUGCAAACCAAACCUGAAGAAAACAAGGAGGACAAUUCAUCAAGAAAACUUGCAGAUAAGAUGAUGUUGCUUGAUAUAAAGGAGGGUGAUGUGGAAACCUCUAUCACAGAGGACAGUGCAGAAGAAAAUCCAUUGUGUAUGUUAUUUAAUGAUGAAAAUAGUCCCUUGCUGCAAGUGAAGGAGCGUGUAGAGCAAUCUGGACCAACUGCAGAAGGAGGAAUUGAUUACAGUGUCCAGCCAACUGGUGUUAUAGAUGCUGCAUCAGAAAGUUCUUUACCCGAUGAUAACAAUGGCAUCUCGAGGAAGGACUCUGUUGGUUCUGAUGAUGAUUGGACAUUAGUUGAGAUGGAGUGUCAAGGGAAAGAAACAGAAGUAGCCGAGAGAGUCAGCUGGGGAAGGUGGUUCAUGGGUAAAACUGGAAAAUCAUUUGGUUUUAAAGACGAGGUGACCGAUGAAGCACCAUCAAAGAGGACCAAGGCUGAUCCAUGAAUACGUAUCCGUUUGAUUAGCUGCUAGCCAGCAGUAGGUGGUGCACAAUAAUGCUCUUUAUUUUCUAGGUUAAUAAUUUCUGUUGCUUGUCUUAGAACUUGAUAGCUCAUCUUUAAAUAUGGUUCCGUCGUGUUGACUAUAUGU
rnacentral:misc_RNA from 1 species